AUAUCAAUAGAUGUUUUGCAAAGCAUGUCAGAUCAUAUACCUCAUUAAUGACAAGAAUUUGACCAUUGUUUUUCUUGACCUUCUUAAGCUUCCUCAAGAAGUACCUAAAACAUAUCAACCAUCAUAGCAUAAGAGAAUCACCUAU